rnacentral:snRNA from 1 species
GUGCUCGCUUCGGCAGCACAUAUACUAAAAUUGGGAACUAUACAGAGAAGAUUAGCAUGGCCUCUGCGCAAGGAUGACACGCAAAUGUGUGAAAUGUUCCAUUAAAAA